rnacentral:misc_RNA from 1 species
GAAAUGCGAUAAGUAAUGUGAAUUGCAGAAUUCAGUGAAUCAUCGAAUCUUUGAACGCACCUUGCGCUCCUUGGUAUUCCUCGGAGCAUGCCUGUUUGAGUAUCAUGAAAUUCUCAAAAUAAAUCUUUUGUUAAUUCAAUUGGUUUCAUUUUGGACUUGGGGGUCUGCAGAUUAACCUCUGCUCCUCUUAAAUAUAUUAGCUGGAUCUUGGAGAGGUCGGUUCCACUCGGCGUGAUAAGUAUCACUCGCUGAGGACACUGUAAAAGGUGGCCGGGCUCACUGCAGAACCGCUUCUAAUGGUCCAUUGGAUUGGACAAAUAAAAUUUAUGAUCUGAUCUCAAAUCAGGUAGGACUACCCGCUGAACUUAA